rnacentral:rRNA from 1 species
AUUGAACGCUGGCGGCAUGCCUUACACAUGCAAGUCGAACGGUAACAGGUCUUCGGAUGCUGACGAGUGGCGAACGGGUGAGUAAUACCUCGGAACGUGCCUAGUAGUGGGGGAUAACUACUCGAAAGAGUGGCUAAUACCGCAUGAGAUCUACGGAUGAAAGCAGGGGAUCGCAAGACCUUGUGCUACUAGAGCGGCCGAUGGCAGAUUAGGUAGUUGGUGGGAUAAAAGCUUACCAAGCCGACGAUCUGUAGCUGGUCUGAGAGGACGAUCAGCCACACUGGGACUGAGACACGGCCCAGCAUCCUACGGGAGGCAGCAGUGGGGAAUUUGGGACAAUGGGCGAAAGCCUGAUUCAGCAAUGCCGCGUGCAGGAUGAAGGCCUUCGGGUUGUAAACUGCUUUUGUACGGAACGAAAAGCCCCGGGUUAAUACCCUGGGGUCAUGACGGUACCGUAAGAAUAAGCACCGGCUAACUACGUGCCAGCCGCCGCCGUAA